rnacentral:rRNA from 1 species
AGCAGCCGCGGUAAUUCCAGCUCCAAUAGCGUAUAUUAAAGUUGUUGCAGUUAAAAAGCUCGUAGUUGAAUUUCGGGAUUGACACAUCGGUCGUGCCUUAAGGGGUAUGAACUGGCGUAGUCAGUUUCUCACCUUCUGGAGAACCGCGAUGUCCUUAAUUGGGUGCCGCGAGGAACCAGGACCUUUACUUUGAAAAAAUUAGAGUGUUUAAAGCAGGCAUUUUGCUUGAAUACAUUAGCAUGGAAUAAUAAAAUAGGACGGAUGGUUCUAUUUUGUUGGUUUCUAGGAUCACCGUAAUGAUUAAUAGGGAUAGUUGGGGGCAUUAGUAUUCAAUUGUCAGAGGUGAAAUUCUUGGAUUUAUUGAAGACUAACUACUGCGAAAGCAUUUGCCAAGGAUGUUUUCAUUAAUCAAGAACGAAAGUUAGGGGAUCGAAGACGAUCAGAUACCGUCGUAGUCUUAACCAUAAACUAUGCCGACUAGGAAUCUAGACGAUGUUAAUUUUUAAUUGACUUCGUUGGC